rnacentral:rRNA from 1 species
GUUCUGCUCGGUGAUUUUUAACAGCCGCGGUACUUUGACCGUGCAAAGGUAGCAUAAUCACUUGCCUCGUAAUUGGGGGCUGGAAUGAAUGAAUAAACAAAGGCUUAACUUUAUUUUUUAGAUUAAAGGAAUUUUCUUUUUUAGUGAAGAAGCUAAAAUAWGUAAAAGGGACAAGAAGACCCUUUUGAGCUUUACUAUAUUUUUCUUUUUUAGGAUUCUUUAGKUUGGUUGGGGCGACCAAGGAAAUAGAUCUUCCUUAUUAAUUKUGAUCCGUUUAUAACGAUUAAAAGAAUAAGUUACCAAAGGGAUAACAGCGUAAUUUUUUUUGAGAGUUAUUAUUAAAUA